rnacentral:rRNA from 1 species
AUUGAACGCUGGCGGCACGCCUUACACAUGCAAGUCGAACGGUAACAGGUUAAGCUGACGAGUGGCGAACGGGUGAGUAAUAUAUCGGAACGUGCCCAGUCGUGGGGGAUAACGUAGCGAAAGCUACGCUAAUACCGCGUACGAUCUACGGAUGAAAGCGGGGGAUCGCAAGACCUCGCGCGAUUGGAGCGGCCGAUAUCAGAUUAGGUAGUUGGUGGGGUAAAGGCUCACCAAGCCAACGAUCUGUAGCUGGUCUGAGAGGACGACCAGUCACACUGGAACUGAGACACGGUCCAGACUCCUACGGGAGGCAGCAGUGGGGAAUUUUGGACAAUGGACGCAAGUCUGAUCCAGCCAUUCCGCGUGCAGGAUGAAGGCCCUCGGGUUGUAAACUGCUUUUGUACGGAACGAAAAGGUCUCUCUUAAUACGGGGGGCUCAUGACGGUACCGUAAGAAUAAGCACCGGCUAACUACGUGCCAGCCGCCGCAGUAA